rnacentral:rRNA from 1 species
GUAGGUUCCGAGCGUUAUCCGGAUUUACUGGGCGUAAAGCGCGUUCAGGCGGUUUGGCAAGUCGGGCAUGAAAUCUCUCGGCUCAACCGGGAGAGGUUGUCCGAUACUGCUGGACUUGAGGGCGGUAGAGGGUGGUGGAAUUCCGGGUGUAGUGGUGAAAUGCGUAGAUAUCCGGAGGAACACCAGUGGCGAAAGCGGCCACCUGGACUGCACCUGACGCUGACACGCGAAAGCUAGGGGAGCGAACGGGAUUAGAAACCCCGGUAGUCCUAGCUAUAAACGAUGUUGACUAGGUGUCGACGGUCUAAACCCCGCCGGUGCCGGAGCAAACGCAUUAAGUCAACCGCCUGGGGACUACGGCCGCAAGGUUA